rnacentral:rRNA from 1 species
GGNUCAACCAUAGUUCGCUUUGGAAACUGUCAAACUUGAGUGCAGAAGGGGAGAGUGGAAUUCCAUGUGUAGCGGUGAAAUGCGUAGAUAUAUGGAGGANCACCGGUGGCGAAAGCGGCUNUCUGGUCUGUAACUGACGCUGAGGCUCGAAAGCGUGGGGAGCGANCAGGAUUAGAUACCCUGGUAGUCCACGCCGUAAACGAUGAGUGCUAGGUGUUGGNUCCUUUCCGGGAUUCAGUGCCGCAGCUAACGCAUUAAGCACUCCGCCUGGGGAGUACGACCGCAAGGUUGAAACUCAAAGGAAUUGACGGGGGCCCGCACAAGCGGUGGAGCAUGUGGUUUAAUUCGAAGCAACGCGAAGAACCUCACCAGGUCUUGACAUCCCGAUGCUAUUUCUAGAGAUAGAAAGUUACUUCGGUACAUCGGUGACAGGUGGUGCAUGGUUGUCGUCAGCUCGUGUCGUGAGAUGUUGGGUNNNNNNNNNNCAACGAGCGCAACCCCUAUUGUUAGUUGCCAUCAUUCAGUUGGGCACUCUAGCGAGACUGCCGGUAAUAAACCGGAGGAAGGUGGGGAUGACGUCAAAUCAUCAUGCCCCUUAUGACCUGGGCUACACACGUGCUACAAUGGUUGGUACAACGAGUUGCGAGUCGGUGACGGCAAGCUAAUCUCUUAAAGCCAAUCUCAGUUCGGAUUGUAGGCUGCAACUCGCCUACAUGAAGUCGGAAUCGCUAGUAAUCGCGGAUCAGCACGCCGCGGUGAAUACGUUCCCGGGCCU